AUUUGAAGAUUGUAACCUUGGGGUUGGCUCUUGUCUAUGUUUCUUGGAACAGGACGUCACAGAGGGUGAGAAUCCCGUGCGAUGAGAUGCCCAAUCCUAUGUAAGGUGCUUUCGAAGAGUCGAGUUGUUUGGGAAUGCAGCUCUAAGUGGGUGGUAAAUUCCAUCUAAAGCUAAAUAUUGGCGAGAGACCGAUAGCGAACAAGUACAGUGAUGGAAAGAUGAAAAGAACUUUGAAAAGAGAGUGAAAAAGUACGUGAAAUUGUUGAAAGGGAAGGGUUUGAGAUCAGACUCGAUAUUUUGUGAGCCUUGCCUUCGUGGCGGGGUGACCCGCAGCUUAUCGGGCCAGCAUCGGUUUGGGCGGUAGGAUAAUGGCGUAGGAAUGUGACUUUACUUCGGUGAAGUGUUAUAGCCUGCGUUGAUGCUGCCUGCCUAGACCGAGGACUGCGAUUUUAUCAAGGAUGCUGGCAUAAUGAUCCCAAACCGCCCGUCUUGA
rnacentral:rRNA from 1 species